rnacentral:rRNA from 1 species
GAGUUUGAUCGUGGCUCAGGACAAACGCUGGCGGCGUGCGUAAACAUGCAAGUCGCACGGGAGCUUCGGCUCCAGUGGCAGACGGCUGAGUAACGCGUAGGGAUCUACCUGCUAGUGGGGAAUAACGGCCCGAAAGGGUCGCUAAUACCGCAUACGACCAGCCGCAAGGCUGAGGAAAGCCGCAAGGCGCUGGCAGAGGAACCUGCGUCCGAUUAGCUGGUUGGUGGGGUAACGGCCUACCAAGGCGACGAUCGGUAGCUGGUCUGAGAGGAUGACCAGCCAGACUGGGACUGGGACACGGCCCAGACUCCUACGGGAGGCAGCAGUUAGGAAUUUUGGGCAAUGGCCGCAAGGCUGACCCAGCAACGCCGCGGGG